AUUGAACGCUGGCGGCAGGCCUAACACAUGCAAGUCGAACGAGUGGCGGACGGGUGAGUAAUGUCUGGGACACUGCCUUGUGGAGGGGGAUAACUACUGGAAAGGGUAGCUAAUCCCGCAUACCAUCAGAUGUGCCGAGAUGGGAUUAGCUAGUUGGUGGGGUAACGGCUCACCAAGGCGACGCUCCCUAGCUGGUCUGAGAGGAUGACCAGCCACACUGGAACUGAGACACGGGCCAGACUCCUACGGGAGGCAGCAGUGGGGAAUAUUGCACAAUGGGCGCAAGCCUGAUGCAGCCAUGCCGCGUGUAUGAAGAAGGCCUUCGGGUUGUAAAGUACUUUCAGCGGGGAGGCGUUACCCGCAGAAGAAGCACCGGCUAACUCCGUGCCAGCCGCCGCGGUAAUAC
rnacentral:rRNA from 1 species